GGAGGGUUAAACAGACGGACUAUCGAAGGGAGUCUUGGGGUACUGAACGGAACCUUCCCGACACCUGACCUGGGUAGGAUAAAGCUGCCGGUAAAAGGGGUGUCCUCGCCGACCGCCAUUCAUUUAUGACGUGCCGGCGGGCUAGUGAAUAGACCUCUGUGGGUGCAAGAGGGACCGGAUCAUUCACCUCCACACGCCUGAGGCCCUCCUUUGCAAGCCCGUCAACCACUUCAUUCCCCUUCAGGCCGACAUGAGCUGGGACCCAUACCAUGGCUUUGGAAGAGGCACAACAUGGGCUGUUUUCCACUCGCAAGGAUCCACCCCAGCCCGCCAGAACAUAUUAUACAGAUGCAGCCAGAUUUGAAGGGUUGCAUCCGGCAUGUGCCCAAACAUCAGAUAGGAUAUUCUAUCAGCCCCAGUGGCGGACUUUCUCCUGCUAGCAAUGGCUGACCUUAGCUCACUAAGUGAGAAAGCCUUGGAGCAUUCGUCCGUCCACCAUGGGACCGUUUGACGUUUGGGCCGCUUACCGGAAGAGGAGGGAAUACAACUCUCAGCUAUGGAUAGGAUUUUAUCAGUCAACUGCCGAUUAAAAUGUUCCAGCUCUUCCAGAUCAAAGUCAGAGAGAGAGAGUCCCAGACACAAUCUUUUGAAUUCACACCAAUCAGCCUUUUCAAAGUUGAAGGAUGGUUGGCAAAUCUCAUGUGAAUUUGACCCUCCGAUAUUAACAUUGUGGAGGACUAUAAGGCAAGGAAAGUGAUCCGACCCAAGAUUGUCGUCUAGGACCCCCCAUGACACGACACCUGCCAAACAGACACUGACUAUGGUGAGGUCAAUGCACAUGGAAUUACCUUGUGCAUCAAACCUGGUGGGUGCACCAUCAUUCAGGACUACCAAGUUUGAGUCUUCCAUCCAAGUACAGACGUCCUCACCAUAUUUACAGACUUUGGAGCAGCCCCACACUGGGUGAUGUGCAUUGAAGUCCCCAGUGUAUACCAGUUUCAUUAUAUUUGUUUUACUCCGUAUAUUACUCUCGAGUGUAGUAAGAGCCUGAAUGUUACAGCCCCGAGAGUAGACAUUUAUUUUUUAACGGAACAGAGAUUGGAAGAGUCUGGUAUUGGAUAGUGUGCUUUAUAUAAAUUGCUAACCCACCGGCUACAUUAUCAUUUAAGUUUGUAUGAUUUAUAAACUCUGUAUAAUAGCCGGGGAUUGAUUUUGAUGUAUUCCCCUUAAAGUUAGUUUCUUGAAUGCACAAUAUAUCAAUACUAUUUAUAUCUGUUAGAUGUUUUAACUCUGAAUGUUUACUAGAUGAAAGACCCCCACAGUUGAAUGAUAAUAUUUUUAUCCAUUAAGAAUGUUGUUAAACCUGCAGAGGAGAUUAGACCUUUGGGUUUUGCCCAUUGGAGACUGGGAGUAAAGUCUACGACUCAUCCUCCCAGCCCUCAGUUUACCAGGUGUCGAGGGACCCUGCAGUGGUGCGCUGGCAAGUUUCGUGAUGGCCUUGAGGGACGUGCCACCUCAACCCUGCGGUCUUGAACUAAAUUUCCAGAAUUGCCUGCUUUUCUUUUAUUUUUUUUUGUCUGGUUAUACAAUGGGCAGCCAUUAUGGUUGCGAUGACUCUGGCCUUUAAGAAAGAGACACACUGCCUGUAGGCAGCUGAGUGGGCAUCACCACAGUUUUUACAUCUGCGGUUUGGGUUUUUGCAAUCCCUAGUAGAAUGUAAACCAGCGCACCUAGCACAUGCUAAUAAAAGUGUACACUUAGGGGCCUUGUGACCAAACCCCUGACAUUUUAAACACCUAUCAGGGUCCUCUUGUCUAGGAUGAACGUAUAAGAUAAGGCUCGUGCCAACCACCCUGACGUACCUCGGGAGGCUCGCCUGGGUGAUAAAACCUAUCCCCACCAGCCGGGGUAAUCCCGGUGGUGGUGGGGCCUCCAGACGCUCCAACCCCAAUAUAUGGCACUGGACGCCUGGCGGCAACUCCAGACGAUCCCCAAGGACCGCCAGGUCCUCAUUCUCGGGAACCCCAGCCAACACUCCACGAACUUUGUGUAGGGAAUGGGGUAGGGAAGCACGACAGUCAACCCCCAUGAGUUUAAAAAUGCCCAUAUUUAUUAACUUGACAAUUGCCUGGGCAUAAACCAGUUCCAGGAGAAUGGCCCGAGAGCCUAGUGGGACUGAUCGUUUGACCAGGCGGGGGAGGAGCUGACCCAGUUCUGAUGCCAGUUUGAUUAUGGACCCCUGGCUGGUCAGCUUCAACCCCCCCUCCCCCCCGCCGCCCACAAUAGCUCGAGGGAUACACUUGUGCAUCAUAGUGUUAUGAGUUAAAUGAUGACUAUCCCUGGUGCACAGUGCCUCCCCAAGCAUAGGAGACAGGUCAUUUGACUGUCUCCUGGUAUUGUUUUUUGAAGAAAGGUAUCACCAGCCAUUGUUAACAAUUAAGUUUGUAAUAAAAUCAACAAGCAAAUAAUAAAAUUUAAUGGGGAACCUAGCCCCUAUAUGUAGAAAUGCUAAGACUUUUGUAUAAGAUGUUGUGUAAAUAAUAUUGGUGUA